rnacentral:rRNA from 1 species
UACGUAGGGUGCAAGCGUUGUCCGGAAUUAUUGGGCGUAAAGAGCUCGUAGGCGGUCUGUUGCGUCGGCUGUGAAAACCCGAGGCUCAACCUCGGGCCUGCAGCCGAUACGGGCAGACUAGAGUUCGGCAGGGGAGACUGGAAUUCCUGGUGUAGCGGUGAAAUGCGUAGAUAUCAGGAGGAACAUCGGUGGUGUAGACGGCUUUCUGGACCGUAACUGACGCUGGAGAACACGAAAAGCCGUGGGUAGCAAACAGG